rnacentral:rRNA from 1 species
AGACGGAGGUGGCAAGCGUUGCUCGGAAUCACUGGGCUUAAAGGGCGCGUAGGCGGUUGAUCAAGUCGGAUGUGAAAGCCCUCGGCUUAACCGAGGAAUUGCAUCCGAUACUGGUCAACUAGAGUGCGGGAGGGGAGAGUGGAACUCCAGGUGUAGCGGUGAAAUGCGUAGAUAUCUGGAGGAACACCGGUGGCGAAGGCGACUCUCUGGCCCGCAACUGACGCUGAGGCGCGAAAGCCAGGGUAGCGAACGGGAUUAGAAACCCCAGUAGUCC